rnacentral:lncRNA from 1 species
AGCCCUGUGAAUGCUCAGCCUUGUGAAUGCUCAUCCCGCCGCUGUUCGCUCUCCCGCGGUUGCUGCUUGCAUAGGGUUUCAGAUCCGGAAAUUUGAGGAUGCGAAACGUGAGAUUUUCUCUUCGACAACCUCACGCUAGUACGGGUGAUGGGUGUGCGGCCCACCGGAGCCCGCCCUGCCCAACCUGCACCCUCGGGGCUCGAAGAGGAGCCAAGCGUUUCCCCAGGUCCUAGUUAUGCCUCCAAAUAAUAUUCGUAGAAAAACAAAACAGAAAAACCCUCCAGACUUUUAUCCACAAAUAAAGAAGAAACAUAUUUUGGUUAAAACGUCACCCAAUUCUUCAAGGAUGACUUACGCAGUUAUGCAAGAAUGGGUUUGCCACAUGUGACCACAGUGGUGACUGGCCCCUGAGGAAGGAAAAUUUUAAGUACGGGGAAGGGGCCGGAGGGCAAGGAGAUUCGUGAGAAUAUCGCAGGGCCUGUAAUGCUGAAACCAGUGCGUCGCCACUAUUAUUGGUAUCCAGUAAUUAUUAAUGUCAAACGGAAAAAUAGCAACGCGGGAUAUUUUAUUUUAGAAGUCACCACGGUCAUGGAAAAAACACGGGCUCUGGAGUCAGACCCAUGUAUAACAAUCUUUGUACAGUUAAGACUCAGUUCUAUUAUCUAUAAAAUGGGCCUUAAUAAUAGUACUACCUUAUAGAGCUAUUAGGAUCAAGAGAAUAUUUAAUCAAUGAUGGGUUGUGUUUGGUUGAGUGAUGUGAAAUUGCCAAUGUUUUGGCCGUUCUGGGUCUACAUCAUUCCCCUUAAUGGUACAGUACUUGCAUACUGCUGCGGUUUCCUGUCAGGGGGAGGACUGGAUUAUGAUCCAUGGGAAGGGGAAAUGGAAGAACGGUGGAAAUGAGUUGCCCAUGACCACACUGAGAAGAGGGAAAGAGGGACCAAGACACAAGUCUCUUGACUUCAGUCCAGCCCAUUUCCCAUGACCAAGAUUCCUCUGAUUACAUGAAGGUGGGUUCUCAAAAAACCCGUAAUAAAAGGACAAGGUCUUCCAUGUCCACUUCACCAGAAAUGUUUUAUUCUUACUUUUUAGGAACUGCGGCCCCCAACUGUUAUGCAUAUUGAAUAAAGGGACAGAACAGGGAUGAGGUGCCCUCCAAUGCAUACUUUGCAAAUGUGGUGAGGAACAUGGGAUGUGGCAUCUGAAUUGCCUGAGUCCAAAUCGUGGACCCAAUGCUUCCUGGCUGUGUAAUUUGGACAAGUGACUGAACCUUCUGAGCCUCGGUUUCUCUCAUCUGUAAACUGGGGACAAUAAUGGUGGUUGUGAGAAGUACAGUAUGAUGUGCCUGGCAGAGGGAGAGAGCAGUUGUGGGUUUUGUUGUUGUUUUUAACGAGUCCCUGAUAGCCACAUAUCCCGUUAGGGAGAUGAGCCAGCUAUUGAGGGUUCUGUGAGAACUCAUAGCAACACCACCCUAAUCAGAGGAAAGGGGAAGGAGAAAGGGAAACAAGAUCCUUGGGCUGAUCAGAGGCAGAGGUGGCAAUGGCACAACACCUAUUGGGGCCCAAGGUGGGCAGGGGCCACACCACGAAGGCUGUGGUUGGGAAUCAAGUUUAGCCCAUAAAGCAGUAGGCAAUCAAAUGAUCAAAUUUAUGCUUUCCUCUAUUCAAGCCAUUCUCCCUUAUGCCUGAGAUCUCUCUCUGGAAUUCCAAACCGAUCUAGAUCUUUCCAAGCAUCACAAUGGCCAUUUCAGUGGCAGACAUUUCUGGGGUUCAAAUAUCUUGUUAUCUAUCCUUUAUUAGCUUUGUUUAUACUGUGAUUGGGGGAAAGGGGACGUGUCGGUCUUUACAUGAUUAAAAUUACUUAAAAUGACUUUUAUACAUCAGUAUGAAUGUUAUAUUGUUUUAAAUAAUCAGCAGAAAAAUCUGACUGGGGAUGUUUUAUUUUUCUGUAACUUCCAUUUGUUGUUGUUUUGAUGCACUUUCCUUCUCCUAUUAAUUCCAUAAAGGAGGCAGUAUUUCCAGGCUUCACAGAGCAGAAGAUGGAGGCUCACAGACUCACCUGAGGUUACAGAAGUAGUAAAUGGUAGCAGGCCUUUUUGCUCCAAAGCAUGUGCUCUUUCAGUAUCACUUCCUGGGGGUGAGGGUUCAGACCAUGUUAGGAUCAGGGAAUGGCCUGGGUUUCUGUGGCUUGCUGCAGACAGCUCCCAAGUGGCCCUCAAGGACUGCCUGGACAUGGAAAGGCCAGGAGCAUAUGACCCCAUGUGAAAGACCCAUCUGCACCCUUCCUGGAGCCUAAUGCAGAGACAGGGAUGUAAAACUGCUUUUUCUCUGACAUGAGCCUUUGUUCUGUACAUAAUAACCAAGAACCAGAAGUUGCUCCUAUGCUCUCAAAGCAGUGAUUUGCAAUUGCAUGACAGAGCCCCCUGGGUUCCACACCACCUCUGUGGGGAGAGGGCAGGCACUCACACUUUUAAAAUGCCCCUUAGAUGAUUUCAAUUUGCAGUCGGGGCUGAGAACCAGUGUCCUGAACUCACUCAGUUUAUUUGGGAGACUCCCAAAAUGUGUAUUUGCAGAGCCCCCUUUCGGGGAGAGUGCUGUUGGAUGCCCCUGGAAGAUUAUGGCAGCUCUCUAAGGAACAUAGCCAUAGUCCACGCCCACCACUCUUGGUCACAAGGGCAGAAGAAGGGAGGAGGGGUCUGCUGGGAGGUCAGGACUUCUUUGAGAUGAUCUGUCCAGUUGGGUGC